GUUUCGAAUAAGACUAUUACUAUUCCUGCUGUGGAAGUAGAGCCGCCUGGAUACUCAUACAAUCCAUCAUCUGAAAGUCAUCAAGUUACAUGCUUAUAUAUUACUUAAUUAUAUAUUAUAUAUAUGGUUAUGUACUUAUAUUCAUUUAGUGGAUUCAUUGGCUCAAGCUGUUGCAGAUGAAAUGCAGAAAAUUUAUACGAAAGAAUUGCGUCCAAAACCUGUUCCUUUAAUUGUUGAAGGGGGAGUUAUUGAUGAGGAAGAUGUGGAACAGGACAUUCUAAAUCAGCGCUGAAGGUUUAAGAGGGAUUGGAAUCAAGCCAUGUGAAAAGCUAGAACUUUUUGCUGACAAUUCUUUUCGGUGGCUUAUUGAUGGAUUGCAUUUCGAUAGUAAUCGAUCCUUAAUAGUAAACUUAACAUCUGCAGUGCUUUUUUAUUAUAACUUAUCCAUAUCUAAUGCAUGAUUAUUUAUGUUU
rnacentral:lncRNA from 1 species